AGGAGCUGCUUUCAGUAGGCUGGUAAGUGUUUGAUUUUUGUUUAGUUGUUAAGCAUGCGUUUGUGUAAUUUAUGCCGUAAUCCCCAGCAUGAAACAGCUGUAGGUUGAUGUAUCUUUUAUUUAAGUUGUUUAGCUAUAGGUUACUGCAUCUUUUAAGUCGUUUAGCUAACGCUACCGUCGCCGCGUGGCGAGCGUAUAUGCUGUACCGCAUGUCAGCAAAUAGCUUGCGUAGUUAUUUGCAUAAAUAAAACCACUAGCUCUUAAAAUGUUAUAAGUUGCGUUCACGGCGAGUAGUUAAAAGCUUUUGUUUGUUUUUUUUUUGUUUUUUUUCCCUCUCUCUCUCUCCCCAGAAGACCGAAUAUACCCGGACGCUUCACUGCUGCUUUGAGAGCGUUAUCUGGUGACGUGAGUGUGGCCCGUGGAUCAGCUUCCGCGAUUCAACAAAUACUAUUAAAUGAGCGUUUAAAACUAAGCUUGCUGUUUCAUAUUUUAUUUUAAUAAACUGUUGGUUUCCCCACAAA